GACGAACGCUGGCGGCGUGCCUAACACAUGCAAGUCGUACGAGAAAGUUGGCUUCGGCCGAUGAGUAAAGUGGCGCACGGGUGAGUAAUGCGUGGAUAAUCUGCCCUUUAGUUGGGAAUAACGUACCGAAAGGUGCGCUAAUACCUGAUAAUACUGCAUAACUACUGUUGUGUAGUCAAAGAAGGCCUCUGUUUACAAGCUUUUGCUGAAGGAUGAGUCCGCGUACCAUUAGCUGGUUGGUGGGGUAAUGGCCUACCAAGGCUACGAUGGUUAGCUGGUCUGAGAGGAUGAUCAGCCACACUGGAACUGAGACACGGUCCAGACUCCUACGGGAGGCAGCAGUGAGGAAUAUUGCGCAAUGGGGGCAACCCUGACGCAGCAACGCCGCGUGAGUGAGGAAGGUUUUCGGACCGUAAAGCUCUGUCGAGCGGGAAGAAAUGUAUCAUGGCUAAUAUCCAUGAUACUUGACGGUACCGCUAAAGGAAGCACC
rnacentral:rRNA from 1 species